GUUAUUGUAGUUAAGUUUAUAAAACAAGAAAUGUGUUUCACUUCAUAGUUAUUUGUAUAUACCUCACAUAUCAUACAUUUAUUAUACAUUAUCACUUUGUUUUGUAUUUAGUUGUGCAAUGCAAUACUACAGACACAGUGCACAACCUCAGUGCAUAGAGUCAAUGAACUGAAUUUCACAAAACCUUAGCUCAAGAUCACAGUAUUGUUACAGUCAUAUUAGGUCUGGAGAGGAACCCACACAGGAAGAGAAUGGCCGGAAGACUGAAACAAAACAUGGAGGACAUUGGUAGACCAAGAAGCAAAGAUGGCAGGAUGGAUGAACCCUAGUGAGAGGAAUCGCCCAGAAUGAUGCGCCCCUAUACUCCAUGGGGAGUCAAAAGGAGAAAUGACUGCUCCAUGUAAUGACCUUCCCCAUAUUGCAAAUGUUGUUAGAAUAAAGCUCCAGGUACUAUCAAACUUCAAAUGAAAUAGUACCGGUACCAAAAGUCCAGUUUGAGAUUCUCUCUAAAUAUUGAAGCGCUAAGAUUUAAGUCUCUUGACUACAAGGUUGUUUUUCUAUUUACAUACAUACUUUCUCUGACAAAAAGGCAAUGUAGUGACCAUUGUGAAACAUUAAAGGUGAUAUUGUUUACAGGUCAUUUUAGACACAACAUCAACCUCAUUAAUACCCAGUAGUGAGUGAUCAGACAAUGAGAA